GACGAACGCUGGCGGCGUGCUUAACACAUGCAAGUCGAACGGAAAGGCCCUGCUUUUGUGGGGUGCUCGAGUGGCGAACGGGUGAGUAACACGUGAGUAACCUGCCCUUGACUUUGGGAUAACUUCAGGAAACUGGGGCUAAUACCGGAUAGGAGCUCCUGCUGCAUGGUGGGGGUUGGAAAGUUUCGGCGGUUGGGGAUGGACUCGCGGCUUAUCAGCUUGUUGGUGGGGUAGUGGCUUACCAAGGCUUUGACGGGUAGCCGGCCUGAGAGGGUGACCGGCGACAUUGGGACUGAGAGACGGCGCAGACGCCUACGGGAGGCAGCAGUGGGGAAUAUGACACAGUGGGCGGGAGCCUGAUGCAGCAACGCCGCGUGCGGGAUGACGGCCUUCGGGUUGUGAACCGCUUUCGCCUGUGACGAAGCGGGAGUGACGGUAAUGAGUAAAGAAGCACCGGCUAACUACGUG
rnacentral:rRNA from 1 species